rnacentral:lncRNA from 1 species
CGUUUUCAGUGUUUUAUAUUGCCUGCAGUUGAAUUUUUGUAGUAUUUAAAUUUUUUAGCAUAUUUGGUCAAUAUAAUUUGUGUCAUACUUAUAUUAUAGAUAUGUUUAACACUAAUCUUGAUAAAGUUUUGAGAAGCGUUUUAAUUGCAGGAGAUUCCAACCUGAAGCAGCUUAAACCCAUGUUUGAUUACCUAGUUAGAACACUGUGCAUACCUGGUGCCAGAGUACAGAAUGACCGGAAAGAAUUCUAUUCCCAACUGAUGAGUGCAAUGAAGACGGAAAACCCAG